AAGCAGAUGAUCAUAACCAGUUUCCUUGGUCACUGCCUUACCAGUCAGGAGAUACCUAACUCUGCACCACGUCAGCACCGUGUUCAGGUGCACCAGAGCCUCUCAGACCAUCAGUUCUGGGAGAUGCAGACCAACACUCCACAGGUUCAUGAUGUUCUCUGCAUCUGGUGAUGCCAGCAGCCGCAGGUACGAGUGCAUGCAUACGUGUGAAGGUCUUCUGGGUUGCUGCGCCAUGAAUUUUCACACAUCCGAGACUGUCAGCAUGGAACCUUUAAGGCCAAGGAUGCAGAGGGAUGGCUGUCAGCUUCUGUUGAUGGGUAGCAGCCUCAGCUCAUCACUGAGGCUCUCACAGGAGAGACGUGCGGGUCGCAGUCCGAGAGGGCGCUGGAUGCGGGGAGCCCGGGUGGUCCCCGCGGGGCUGCGGUGGCGGCGGCGGCUCGGCCCCGGCCCCGGUCCCGGCUCGGCCGGAGGCACAGGUGCCGCCCGGGCACGGGCUCCCCCUUCGCCCCCGCCGGAGGCCGAGACCUGCUUCCUCCGGCAGC
rnacentral:lncRNA from 1 species